rnacentral:rRNA from 1 species
AGUGAACGCUGGCGGUAGGCCUAACACAUGCAAGUCGAACGGCAGCACAGUAAGCGCUUGCUCUUACGGGUGGCGAGUGGCGGGCGGGUGACGAAUACAUCGCCAUCUACUUUUACGUGGGGGAUUACGUAGGGCCACUUACGCUAAUACCUCAUACGACCUACGGGUGAAAGCAGGGGAUCUUCGCACCUUGCGCGACUGAAUGAGCCGAUGUCGGAUUAGCUAGUUGGCGGGGUAAAGGCCCACCAAGGCGACGAUCCGUAGCUGGUCUGAGAGGAUGAUCGGCCACACUGGAACUGAGACACGGUCCAGACUCCUACGGGAGGCAGCAGUGGGGAAUAUUGGACAAUGGGCGCAAGCCUGAUCCAGCCAUACCGCGUGGGUGAAGAAGGCCUUCGGGUUGUAAAGCCCUUUUGUUGGGAAAGAAAAGCAGCAGGUUAAUACCCCGCUGUUCUGACGGUACCCAAAGAGUAAGCACCGGCUAACUUCGUG